rnacentral:rRNA from 1 species
GAUGAACCGUGCGAACGUUGUUCGGAAUCACUGGGCUUAAAGGGCGCGUAGGCGGGCGGUCAAGUCAGAGGUGAAAUCCCACGGCUCAACCGUGGAAGUGCCCCUGAUACUGACUGUCUCGAGGGAGGUAGGGGCGUGCGGAACUUCCGGUGGAGCGGUGAAAUGCGUAGAUAUCGGAAGGAACACCGAUGGCGAAAGCAGCCCCCUGGGCUAACACUGACGCUCAGGCACGAAAGCGUGGGGAGCAAACAGG